AACAUCUUGAUCAUGUAGUUAACUUUGACAUCAUCUUUUUCAUUUCAGACCAAAUUUUCUCAUCCUCUUAUUCUAAAACAACACCACGAAUAAUAAAAAUUACAUGAAUCUGUUAAUCAUCGUAUAUAUAAUCCUAACUAACUUUUGGUUUUUGUUUCUUACCGCUAUGACUUUGAUAUUUUCUAUAUGGCAAGAUAGAAAAAAUCCCUUCUGAUUAUAAGAAUAGCUUAAGAAACACUAACUGUGCUAGCAAUGGCCAAUGCUUGUUAAUCAAAUAGUUCAAUUUUUUAAAUGUUUAACUGUUAUAUGCUCUUUCUCUCUAACUAUCACUAAAAUUUAGGAAGCCUCCGUCCCAGAUAAACUACAAAUACAAUGGUUCACCUGGAUAAACAGAAAAAGAAUCAAGAUUUCUUAUGAACUUUACAUGUUCACAUGAUAUAUGUGACAUAUCCAAAAUUGGACCCAAAAUCUAAUCAAUUAUGAUCAAUAACGUCUAUCGAAUUCUUCGAGGUUUGUCAUAUCACUUGCCAUAAGUUUUGUCCAUACCCAAUAGAAAUUUUGUGAACAAAAUUUUAGUGAUAAUAGUUCACCACUUUAUCCGGUAUACAAGUGGGAAAUGAUUGCCAUUAACUUUUUAUC
rnacentral:sRNA from 1 species